CCCCUCUCCUUGCUCGAUCCAGAUCUCGCUCCCCUCGUCUCCCACAUCGCUGCCGCCACCCACCACGAUCCCAUCCCUCCCCUCGUCUCCCUCCCAAACCUUGCCGCCGGUGGCCUCUCCCCCUCCUCUCCGCUCCCACCAUCUCCUCUAGUGCCAUCUCCCUCCUCAUCGAGGGCCGACCCCUCUUCUCAUCAAAAAUCUCUCCCACUACGGCCACGCGCACCGAUCUCCCUUGCUGAAUCCCCAAUCCCCCUCGUUCCACCAAGAAGAUUCCCUCUUGCAUUCGCUCCACUCUAUCCCCGCCUCCUCUCGCUCCGCCAAAUCGCCGGCGGAUCUCCUGCCGUCUGGAGCUCCCCCUGCCGAAUCUGACACGGGAUUUCCUGCCGUCCAGAGCUCUUUCUCUCUCUCUUCUCCGAGCCAGAGAUCUCAGCGCGAUUCCGGGCCCCGCGGCGAGCUGGGACUGCCCCGGUGGCAGACCCACCCAAAUUCCUAUCACCCAGCCCCAGCCCCACCGCCGCCGCCGCCGCUAAUGACGACCUGCUCUUCCCCAACCCCAGCCCUGCCGCCGCGUCCCUCCUCCUCUCCCAUCGCCGUCGAGACGCGCACGCGACCAUCGUCCUCUCCCACCGCUGCGUCCCCUUCCACCCAACCCUAGCCAAUCUGAUCCAAUCCCCUCCUCCUUCCACCCCUCCAGAGCCGCGGCCAUGGCGACCGAGCUGUCGUCUCUACCUCCAUCCCCUCCCUGCUCGCGACCAUGAAGGGCGGCCACGGAGACCAUACACGCAGCAGGCUGGAGGCACAACAUAGGCCUUGAGGACGGAAGAAGGGUUUGGGAUGCCCCUCGACAAGUGGACACUCUGAUUGGUUGCGAAGGCUAAGGUGAAUGCGUACGUCCGAUUCAUCUUCCCCUGGCCUGGAUGGGAUUGGAUUGGAUUGGAUUCAUGGGGAUUCAUUCUUCUUCCACUCCCAUCCUCCCAGUCAUAGGCCAAGGGAAAUGACUACCGUUCCAGGGUCUCCGGUCUGGGAGCUCGUGAAGAAGAACAACUACUUCUUGAUCAAGCAGUUCGACAACAGCAACACCAAGGAAGAAGGACUACAAGGACGUGAGGUUCUCCCAGGUCGUCUCCAACGCCGUCGACAUGAAGCUCAGGGAUGACCUUGAGAGGCUCAAGAAGAUCAUUUAUAACCUCGCCGUUCCCUGUUCUUUCCCCCCCUUACUAUUGGUUGAUAUAUGACUAUGUGUUAGAUUCAACUACUGAAGAUGCUUGCACUUCAUAUCAGGACUAGAAGUUUGUGUCUUGCCUGGUAGUAUACAGUUUAAUUUGCUAUUAUUAGCUAGGAUUGUUGAUAGACUUAAUUUUCUGCUGGAAGUCAAAUCUCCUAAACACUAGAAUGCCUGAAAUGUCAGGGUAGGUGCUUCAUUCUAUGUACCGUUCUGGUGUCUGUGCAUGUAUGGGCUAGCUUUUUGUGUAGAAUAGUGAGUUGAUGCUUCUUUCUACAGAAAUACAACAUGUUAGCUCUAUGGAUGUUUAUUUACCUGCAACUUCUGCCAGCUCUAACUUGGUUAUAUAACAAUUCAGUUCAGUCAAAUCUUUGGGGUAUUGAUACACUACUGUGCAAGUUCUAUGGUAUGUGAGUUCCUUCUAUUGCUGCAAGCAUUGACACAAUAUGUCAUGUGCAGGGAGCUCCACAUCCGAGUCUCAUCCAUCCUCGGCAGCAAGGAGCUGGGCCAAGGGAGCAAGCAGCGCUGCUGGUUACUUGGGCCAGAUCGAGUAAGAUGGUGCACCAUGGCGUGUGGCGGCCUAUUUUGCUUCCAAGAGCAGUACUGUUUAUUUGAAAUGAGAUGUACUCGUCUACUGCCUAGUAAACAGUACUGCCUAGUACUGUUUAUUUUGCUUCCAAGAGCAGUACUGUUUAUUUUGCUUCCAUGGCAUGUGGCAGCCUAUUUUGAAUGAUUGUCAUGUACUGUGAUGUAGUGAGCUGUAGGAGUGAAAUGAAAUCUUAUCUGCUGUGUAUGUGUUA